rnacentral:lncRNA from 1 species
CGCCCCAGCCCUACCUGAGCGCUCCAGGUGUGAACCUUGGAUCGCGCGCGCAGGGUGGGGGCGCCGUCCGGGCCAAGCCUGGCUGUCGUGCGGCUUCUCUCUGAGCGCUAGGCGAGGCUGCUGCUCCGCGCAAGUUGUGGCUCCCGGCCCAUCUACAUUGGAGGAAUCCUGCACUGACCUGGUGGCAGUGAUCACCUUGUAGCCAGAACACAGUCUGCUGGGUCCUUGGGGAACCAGAAGUUCUAGAUUUCCCCCACACGGUUCCUCUCUUCCUCCUCGGUUCGCCAAAAUGAAGGGGUGCGCUGCCUCCGAGGACCACUUCGGGAGGGCAGCAACUGCUGGCUCAUGUGGUUUCCUCGGGCAGGGUUCAGCAGCUUCUGUCACCAGUUAGGUUUCGUGAGCUUCCUUCCCGUGUAGUCUUGAUUUCAUCACUUGACUCACUUCAGCGCAGCUAGUGGUUUCCGUUUCUGUACGCGGGCGCUCUGGUAGGGGCGCCUCACGUCCAAAGGAGGAGUCUUCUUCCAAAGAAGAGCCUUUGGUAUUUGGCAGAGCCUCGCCAAUUUGGGGCGCACCUCCCCUUCCUGGGAUGCUCAGAGAAGGCAAACCAAUUCCCAGAAGAGAGGGAAAAACAGCCACAACAGAGAGAACCUUUGCUGUCCCUGUUUGGAAAGAGAUUGGGAUUUCCUGGAGAGGGCUUGCUUCUACUGUAGGUUUGUUUAAAAGCUCAACAUGUAUUCUGGAAGAGAACAACGGAGACUCCAGGAAGAUGCUUCCUUCUGCUGCUGCAACAAACAUUGACACACCCAAAACCAGGACUUAAAAUGGCCUUUAUACCUUUCUAUGAACUCAUUUCUUUGGCCCUAUCCCAAAGAUAUCUAGGGAUAUAAAUAGAAAACUAGCUAAAAACUUUUUGGUGUCGUGUUUAAUCACAUGGUGGUAGGUUUUACUAUGAAGUUUG